UGUCUCCGGCCACCUGGGAUGCUCAGCCAGUGCCUUUGGAAACAUUUCUGCCUUGAAUGUCAGGGCCACACUGCGUUACUGAGCAUGUUCUGACCGGGCCGUCUUGGGCAUCACCUGCCAUUCUCCUGCCAUCCUCUCAACAGCUCUGUGGGGUGGGGUCCUCCCCCAUACCUGAUGCACCGACCACACAGUGGAAAGUGACAAAGCCAGCGCCUUGCCCCAGGCCCCGCAGGGUGGAGCCCGUCUGCUCAGGGUUGCAGGCCCAGAUUCUCCACUGCUACCGAGAUCGCCCGCAUGAGGUGCUGCUGUGCUCGGACCUGGUCAAGGCAUACCAGCGCUGCGUGAGCGCCGCCCACAAGGGCUGAGGAGCAGACAUCAUUCCCUGCCCUGGCAGUGACUUGGAGCCCUGAAGAAGGGACCAAUCAUGGGACCACAGCCACUGUGCCCUGCCGUUUCCUGCUGGGCCCCUGCAUAUGCCCCUGAGCCUGGGGCUGCCACGUGUUUAGGAAACAAAGUAUGCGCUACUGUCUGAAAACAAAUAAAGCAGAUGCCUUUGUUUUCA
rnacentral:lncRNA from 1 species